GACGAACCGUACGAACGUUAUUCGGAAUCACUGGGCUUAAAGGGUGCGUAGGCGGCGCGGAAAGUUGGGUGUGAAAUCCCUCGGCUCAACCGAGGAACUGCGUCCAAAACUGCCGUGCUCGAGGGAGACAGAGGUGAGCGGAACUUAGGGUGGAGCGGUGAAAUGCGUUGAUAUCCUAAGGAACACCGGUGGCGAAAGCGGCUCACUGGGUCUCUUCUGACGCUGAGGCACGAAAGCUAGGGUAGCGAACGGG
rnacentral:rRNA from 1 species